rnacentral:rRNA from 1 species
GACGAACGCUGGCGGCGUGCUUAACACAUGCAAGUCGAACGGGUCUGCCCUGUUUUUUGCGGGGUGGGUCAGUGGCGAACGGGUGAGUAACACGUGAGUAACCUGCCCCUCACUUCUGGAUAACCGCUUGAAAGGGUGGCUAAUACGGGGUGUUCUGGCUGUGCCGCAUGGUGUGGCUGGGAAAGAUUCACUUUUGUGGUGUUUUGGUGGGGGAUGGGCUCGCGGCCUAUCAGCUUGUUGGUGGGGUGAUGGCCUGCCAAGGCUUUGACGGGUAGCCGGCCUGAGAGGGUGGGCGGUCACACUGGGACUGAGAUACGGCCCAGACUCCUGCGGGAGGCAGCAGUGGGGGGUAUUGCACAAUGGGCGGAAGCCUGAUGCAGCGACGUCGCGUGAGGGAUGGAGGCCUUCGGGUUGUGAACCUCUUUCGCCGGUGAAGAAGGUCCUGCUCUGUGUGGUGGGGUUGACGGUAGCCGGGUUAUGAAGCGCCGGCUAACUACGU